CGGAAGUGCGUCACCUUCCUCUUCCGCCGCGGCUCCGGCGCCUGUAACACGAGUUAUCAUCUUUUCCCUCUUAACGUGAGGCGAAGUAAAGAUACUGGAUCGACUGGAAACACGUUGCUGACAAAAUGAAACCCAUCCUGCUCCAGGGCCAUGAGAGGUCCAUCACUCAAAUCAAGUACAACAGAGAAGGAGACCUGCUCUUCUCUGUAGCCAAAGACACGGUAGCCAACGUGUGGUACUCUGUCAAUGGAGAGAGGCUUGGCACCUACAAUGGACACACAGGAGCUGUGUGGUGUGUCGACUGUGACUGUAUCCUUUACUGAGAUGUAC